ACCCAUCCAAGUUUCCACAUGGUUUACUACUAUUUCUCCUUCUUCUUCGUGACAGUCGGAAUUUAACUUGGGCUCUUCUUUUUGCCUGAAUCCAGUGACUCUCAUCUGGGGAAGAGGAAUCUGAAGAAUCUGUGUAAAGCUCACUCCAUCUGGGGCUUGCGAUCUGGAGGGUUGUCGAUUAAGAGGUGAAAUGAGUUCAGAGUUAUAUAUUCCCAGUCCUACGCUUCCAUGAAGCUAUUUCCUUUGGCUACAGUGUGGAGUCAGAUGAGAAAGAAAUGCUUAGAGGGAAAUCAUAUGGAAGAAAAUCAUCUAUUUUUUAAAUAAAGAUGGGAUGGAGAUGGUACCAAGGAAGAGAAGAAUGCAAGAGCAACCACGACAAUGUUAUUGCACAGCAUUUCUCCUAUGACCUCAAAAUUAAAAUGUGUUUUUCUUACAAUAUAUAUUCAAUAGUGCUGUUAUAAGUUAUCCUAUCCAUGCUCCCUUUUAAAUGUUUUUAAUUACAAAAUGUAUAACAUUUAGGCAAAGCCAAUAUUUCUAUAUGCUAAUUCAGACCAUGUUUUCUAAGUAUUUUUUUCUAAAAUUGUCCUUCAAAUUUAAGUUCUCAACAAAAACUGAAGCACAUUCCAGAGCUUAUUUGAUAAGUUUUGAUCUAUA